UGCAUGGCCCUCAUUUUUUGGUUUGCACAGCUCACAAGAAGCCUUUGUCUGCAGGGCUGCAAAUCUUCAUCGGUAGGAGAUAAGGAGCAGAGGCUGAGAGAAAAUGGGAAUUGAGCGGCGGAGUAAGCCCUGCUAACGGCACGCUGUGCUGCUGGGGAGCCCUGUACCUGCUGCUGGGAGCUGUGCUGGAGGCUCAGGGUCACAUCCUGUGUUCCAGUGUCAGGAUCUGCAGCAGACCCCAAAGCACAGCACCACAGGGUAGAGCACUCAAGUCUCGGGGAUGCUUCAGAGGCUGCACAAGAGGAGGCUUUUUGUUCCUUGAGCAUCGCUGCGGCCGCAUCGCUGGAGGACAAUGAGCUGCUUCUUGCAGCCUGGGCUGGCGUCUUGGCUUGCCGAGGUUUUGCCCUGUGGAGGAAUGUUCCCCUAAAAUACAGUGGAUGGCUGCAGCAGCGUUGAAGGCUCCAAUGAAGGUGACAGCUAGCAGCCCUAGGAAAAGGGGACGCUGCCUUUGCUGCCUGUUAGUGGGAUUGAGCCCUGUGCUGCUGUGGUAUGAAGCUCCGUGGCCUCAUUCACAUUGAUCCCUGGGGCACAGGGAGGUGUCAAACGCUUCUGGCUGCUUUGCGGAGAGGAAACGCUGCUUUUCCGGCAGUGAGCAGGAGGUCUGUGGGGGUUUAGUGCAGCUGUUGUGUGCUGUGAUGGCUUUCAGAUCCUAUCCUGUCCCAUGUACUGAUCAUGGCUCAGGGCUGAUGAUGCCGGAUGGUUUUUAUAUCUAUCUGCCGUUUCAGGCUGUGUUUUUGCAAUGAGCACGGAUUUUCCCACUGAUUUGCACUGAGCUUGAGAUGCUGAGGGUGGGGACUGCAGCUUCAAAAUAUGCAGAGCACAGAGCUUCAACCUUCCACAACACAGAGCCUCCAUCCCAGCUCUGGAGAUGUAAUUCCCUAUCCAUGCUGGGAGAAUUCAGGCUUGCUUUCAUCCCCCCGAAUUUUGAGGCUGGAUCGGGGACAAUGGGAGGACGUGCUGUGUCCCCAACACCAUCAAGCAGCGCAUCAGCCGGUGCUGCUAGCGUCACCCUGCCUGAAGCGCCCUCCGGCUGUUCCCUGCACAAAGGGCCCAUUUUCCUCCAGUUUUGCCAUUUUCUGAAAGCUGCCGCUGAGCCUUCGUCCCACGGGUGUCACCAUCCCUGGGCUGGUGGAGAGGGGGCGGGGUCCCACAGAUGGGAUCCAGCAGAUCCCCCUAGGGGAUCCGGAUGGCUCCGCUGCGAUUCAGGGAGGACCUUGGGGAUCGCUGAUGCCAGUUUAUCAGCCAACAUCGCCCCAGUGCUGUGGUGUGCACUGUGGCAGUGCCCGGGCUUCUUCAAGGCCCUUUCCCAAUUAUCACCAUUUCCAUGUGCUAUUUUCCCCUCUUUGGGAAACAUGUGUUUUGCACGGUGAGGGAAAGGGAAUGGAGCGGCAUAAACUGCAUCAGGGAAGGUGCCCACGAUGGAUGCGCAGCGUGGGGCCAUCCUGGCCAGAGGGAUGUCCCUAAAUCCUGAAUUUAAUGACUGAACCGCCCUGUGUGAACCCCACGCUGACAGGUAUAAGUAUCGUGGUGUUUAUAGUGGCUUCGUCACUGGUUAGGAAGGUAUUUGAUGAGGCGUAGCAAGAUAGAGACCUCCUGGGGCACAGCCAUCCUUUGGGGAAAAGCUGGCGGCUGGUGAAGGGAGAAAACUACACCUCCCAGCGUGCCCCACGCCCAUCAUGGCCGCCCGGCAGGUUGGUGCUGGAAUACUACCAAUCCCAGCAUGCAACGCGGCCCAAGAUGGCUGACCGGAAGCGCUUCCGGAAGUCCCAGCUCCUGGCCGGAAGACUACAGCUCCCAGUACGCUGCCCCAUUCCGACAGGUUUGGCCCUACUGUGGCUGGCAGUGAAGCAAAGAUGUGGCCCAUCCAGUAGCGGCGACGCCGCUGCUGCCGCCCGCUCCUCGCAGAGCUGCGGCUCCAGGUCCUUGUGGGGAGCAGCGGCCCGCCCAAAGCCCCCUAGGCGCCCCAACAAGGAGCAGCGCGCAGCGUCGGGCCUCACUGCGCAUGCGUCCUUCACCCGAUUGGCGGGCGGACAUUUGGGGCGCAGCAAUGCGCAUGCGUACAGUGUGGAG